UGUUUCCACAGAUUCAACACCUGCUUUGGGUCAUGAUAUUGGGUCGAUAACCAAACCCAAACCAGGAGGAAACACAGUUAGCCUGAUUUUCUUGGUGGUCAUGCUUACCAUCUCAGUCGUUGUAUGUGCCAUCUUCAUCCUUUACAUUAUACAUCUAAGGAGGCUUUUAAGAAAGCAUGAUAGACAAACGCAGGAUACAUCAAAGAUUGCCAUGAAGGAAUCGAUAGCCGAGCUGAAACCCCUAUCUGUAGCUCCCAGCAAAUGCUAAGAACGUGUUGAGUUCAUUGGAAGCCAAUUGUCAAAACUGUAUAAAUUUGUAACCAUAGUGCGGGAAGUUUCAUUGAGUUUAGUUUGACAGUGACUUGUUAAUGAAUUCAAGAUUUUGGAUUGUAAAGACCAUUGUCUUCAAACAAUAGUGGUUAGAUUUGUACCUGUCCCUUUGCUCUUAGAACCUUGGCCGGGCCCCGUAAGCUAUAACCCUUUUUUGAGUCAUUUCUCCGGCCCAAAAUAACAUUUUUCCAGGCUAUUUCGCGUUUCGUUGUUAGA